AGUGAACGCUGGCGGUAGGCCUAACACAUGCAAGUCGAACGGCAGCACAGUAAGAGCUUGCUCUUACGGGUGGCGAGUGGCGGACGGGUGAGGAAUACAUCGGAAUCUUCUUUUUCGUGGGUGAUUACGUGGGGAAACUUACGCUAAUACUGCAUACGACCUACGGGUGAAAGCAGGGGAUCUUCGGACCUUGCGUGAUUGAUUGAGCCGAUGUCGGAUUAGCUAGUUGGCGGGGUAAAGGCCCACCAAGGCGACGAUCCGUAGCGGGUCUGAGAGGAUGAUCAGCCACACUGGAACUGAGACACGGUCCAGACUCCUACGGGAGGCAGCAGUGGGGAAUAUUGGACAAUGGGCGCAAGCCUGAUACAGCCACACCGCGUGAGUGAAGAAGGCCUUCGGGUUGUAAAGCCCUUUUGUUGGGAAAGAAAAGCAGCAGAUUAAUACCCCGCUGUUCUGACGGUACCCAAAGAAUAAGCACCGGCUAACUACGUG
rnacentral:rRNA from 1 species